rnacentral:rRNA from 1 species
GGAGGGGGUUAGCGUUGUUCGGAAUUACUGGGCGUAAAGCGCACGUAGGCGGAUUAGUAAGUUAGAGGUGAAAUCCCAGGGCUCAACCCUGGAACUGCCUUUAAUACUGCUAGUCUUGAGUUCGAGAGAGGUAAGUGGAAUUCCGAGUGUAGAGGUGAAAUUCGUAGAUAUUCGGAGGAACACCAGUGGCGAAGNCCGCUUACUGGCUCGAUACUGACGCUGAGGUGCGAA